UUGUUCGACGUGCUGUAAGUGGGGUCACAUAAGCCUGUGGGUUAAGAGAGAAGCAAUUGUUUUUAAGUUGGAAAAGAAAUUUUAACCGGUGUAUUUUCCUUCGGAGUUGUAGAGUCUGAAUAUUAUGAUGUUUCAUUAGGGCUGUGGGAGAGUCAUUUAUUCUAUAUUUAGAAAAAAUAAACCUAACUGCUCGGCGUUGUAUCAUCUCUAAUGCAUUAAUGUUAGUUUUUGUGUAGGGGUCCCAUACGAUGCAAGCAUAUUCGAGUUUUGGUCGGAUUAGUGAUGUGUAAGCCAAAAAUCUAGUGUCACGAGGAGCAUGUUUUAGUUUGUGCCUGAGGAUACAAAGUUUCUUGAAAGAAGAGUUACAGAUGUUGGAAAUGUGGUUAUUCCGGCUUAGGUCACUGGUUAUUGUGAUUCCAAGGUGCUUAUAUUGGUUUACUUUGGUGAGCGGUGUGGAUCCUAGGUUGUAAAUGAACGACAAUUUGUUAACUUUUUUUGUUACAGACAUGUAAACAGUUUUUUCAGUGUUGAGUUCCAUGCCCCACCGCUUGCACCACGACAAAAUGUUUUGAAGGUUAGAGUUAAGUAUUAACUGAUCAUUAAGAGAACAAACUUCGUUAAACAAAACACAAUCGUCUGCGAAUAGCCUAAUUGGAAUUGUGAGAC
rnacentral:lncRNA from 1 species